AUGAGAACAUUGGUCCCACCAUGGGGACGUGGUAAAACUUUUCCUUGGGCCCACAGUUCUUUUCAUCCUAUGGGAAUCCGAUUGCCUUUGUUGCGUGGCGAUUUGGAACAGAAAAUUCUCAAAAAGCCACCGCAAGUGGCCACCGUUACCUCUGUCAGGAGUGCCAGCUGCUGCAUCGGAAAUUGUAGCACCUUUCCUUUACUGUCCUCUUCCCUCUCCUUUGGUUUUGUGAGCUGA